CGCCCCGCUCCGAUCCAGGUGAAAACCCUAACAUCCCGAUGGCCAGUGAGUACGGCGAAUCCACCAGCGCCACCACCGACGCCGCCAGCUUCGAGUGCAACAUCUGCUUCGAGCUCGCGCAGGAUCCCAUCGUCACCCUCUGCGGCCACCUCUUCUGCUGGCCGUGCCUCUACAAGUGGCUCCACGUCCACGCCCACUCCCCGGAGUGCCCAGUCUGCAAAGCCCUUGUCGAGGAGGACAAACUCGUCCCCCUCUACGGCCGCGGAAAGUCACCCUCGGAUCCUCGUUCCCGCUCCGUACCCGGAGUCAACAUCCCCAAUCGCCCCACUGGUCAACGCCCGGCCACCGCUCCGGCCCCGGAUCCCAACCAGUUCCCGCACGCCGCCAAUCCGUGGUUCAUGGGGGGCGGGGCGCCGGUUGGCGGAACCCGCUUUGGGAAUUAUACGUUCUCGGCAGCGAUUGGGGGCCUCGGUGGGCUGUUCCCGCUGCUUAAUUUUCAGGUGCAUGGGUUCCCGGAUGCUCACGCCUACGGGCCGGCAGCGGGGUUCCCGUACGGGUAUGCGAACGGGUUUCACGGUGGGCAUGGGCAUGGUCAUCCGCCGCACUCCUACCAGCGGCAGAUGUUGCAGGGACAGCAGGCGGAUGUUUAUCUGAAGGCGCUUCUUUUACUGGUUGGUGCUCUUGUUGUUGCUACUCUUGUUUGGUUUUAGAUGCGGUUAUAUCGUGCUUGCAAACUUUCUGAACUGAAUAUGUAGAUUAAGAUUAGCUGUACAAUGAUUUGGUUAAUGGUGUCGGAUUUUCAUUAUCAUUCUACUGGUACUUGGUGUCUUGUUGUUGG
rnacentral:misc_RNA from 1 species